GAAGGGCCCCUAACUGGAGAAAUGCAGUGGUGGAUCAUUUUCAGCUCCUCGUUUUUGCCAAAAUGUCCUCAAGGUGGAAAGGCAGCAGAUCUGCCCUCCAUCUACUUCACAUGGAUGUCUGGAUUUCCUCCACUCUGCCUGCCUGCCUGCCUGCAUGUCUUCUUGUCCAUCACUCCUCAUAUUUGAACUGGGUUCCGUUGCUGUGGGUGAAGUCUCGAGUCCUCGGUGUUCAAGUCAGAGUCAAGUCCAAGUCACCAAAGAAAAAUCCCAGUCAAGUCCCCAAUACCUGGGUCCAACUCUGCAUCAAGUCCUUAUCAUUAAAUUAUUGUUUUGGGGUUUUUUUGUCAAAUAUUUUUAUUGAAUUUUUCCAUUUAUGAGGUUCUGACUGAUCCUGUCGGCAUGUCUGGAGAUCUACAUGAACAAUAAAGUUACCGAUGUGGAGACGCACUCAUCGGUGGAAUCACUGCAGAUCACAUUGGAUGCACUCCCUGCUACUGUCUAUUUUCAUAGCAGUGUUCUGCUACAUUGAAAUAAUAGACCGUAGAAUCCCGCAAUUGACCAAUCAGAAAUGCCCCCGUGCCAGAUCGCCCUGAUGCUAAUCAGCAGUGGUCAAGUGUUGAUGUUGACUGCAUUCACAUCCAACUGCGUAUCAUAUAUGUGAACGCUUGGCCAUCAGUUUACACUUUAAACACACAAGUACACAUGUGAGCUGUUACAUGACCCUUCAUCACGUCAUACUCACUGACACAUGCCAGCACAUGCCCUGGCUUCCCAUUGCCUUUAGAAUGAAUAAACUAACUUUUGUCUUUCUCUUGUAUUUAAUAGUGUUAAAAACCAAUACAGCCACCCCGUACCCCCUUUUUUAUUUAUUUUAAUUUUUCUUUAAUAUACAUAUGCACAUACAUAUACAUAUACAUGUGCCUAUGUGCAUAAUUAUGAAUUUGUGUUAAUCGGCCUGUGUAUGGUAUGAUAUAUUUCUCUCA